CUCUCCUACGCCCAGGAGUGACAGCCUCGUGAGUCGAGCGGUCCACUCAUCAGGAAGAGCUCACUGCCUUCAUCCGCAGACAGUGUGCCGGGAACUUAGGCCGCGUAGGUGAAGAGAACACAUUCUUGCCACGGGAGAGAAGAAAUGGCCUGCUGAGUUAUCCUUCUGGAAGCCAAGCUGUUUCGGGAGCUGUACCCUGGAGGUGACUCCAGACACGCUGCCUGCUUCCCAGGGAGGUUACGGGAUCCAGUGCACCAUGACUUUAUCCAUCAGACACCGGAUGCUAUUGGCAGGAAAUGAGCUAGAAGAAGAGAUUCUUGUUCUCCUCCAGGGAAUGCUCUGACCAUGGCUGACUCUCCUCACAGGAUUUUGCCUAGAGCUGCCCUACAUGAAACAGCCAGAAGUAAUUUCAAGACCGGUGGCAGAUCCCUGCUGACCUCCCCCAGGGGGGUUUGACAGCUCCCCUCUACUCCACACCGGCUGCCUCUCUCUGGACGGCAGUCUCCUGUCUCUCACCUGGUCCUAGGAGAUGUGCCACUUCUCCACGGGCACCAUGGGGCAGGGACAGAGGGCUCCCCGUGCCCCGGGCCCCCUCGCGGUGCUCGUGCAGCUCAGGGUUGGUGACCCUUGGGCCUUGGGGAGGGUCACGGGCUGUGAUGAUGGAUUUUAAAACAAUGUUUUAGAAUGGUCUUAACUAACUUCUCCAUCACCAUUUCCUCCCUUUUCAAUCUGUCCUACACAAGACUUACAGAUCAGACUUCUAAAAGGGGUGCUCCAGACUUUGGGGCCAAGACUGCCUGAAGAGCCCUGUGCAGCACGAGGGAGUCAGGCCCACUUUGCUGGGCUGAGGGAGCCAUGAAGGGUGUUUUAAACCCUGGGAUAAUGGGAUGAAGUUUCUAAUUAAACUGUUGGGGUGCUACCAGGAGAAUGGACUGCGAGGGGAAAGCUGGAAGCCAGUCAGGAGCUGGGCCAUACUGCAGAUGGAAGCUGACAGGGCCUGAUGCAGAGAGAGGGAGCAAUUGGGUGGGAAUGGAAAGAAGGAAACAGCAGGCAGGGAGGUGGGAUGGGCUGGAACUGGUAACUGACAGAGUGUUGAGGUGAGCAGCAAUGAAGAGUAAGGCUGACCUCCCACUUCCAGCUUUGGCAACCAGAUGGAGAACCGUACCUUCCUGAAUAGCAGAAUGAAGGAGUGUGUGUGUGUGGC
ensembl:lncRNA